rnacentral:rRNA from 1 species
UUUAAGCUUGUUGGUGAGGUAAUGGCUCACCAAGGCGACGACGGGUAGCCGGCCUGAGAGGGUGACCGGCCACACUGGGACUGAGACACAGCCCAGACUCCUACGGGAGGCAGCAGUGGGGAAUAUUGCACAAUGGGCGAAAGCCUGAUGCAGCGACGCCGCGUGAGGGAUGACGGCCUUCGGGUUGUAAACCUCUUUCAGUAGGGAACAAGGCCAGCAUUUUUGUUGGUUGAGGGUACUUGCAGAAGAAGCGCCGGCUAACUACGUGCCAGCAGCCGCGGUAAUACGUAGGGCGCAAGCGUUAUCCGGAAUUAUUGGGCGUAAAGAGCUCGUAGGCGGUUUGUCGCGUCUGCCGUGAAAGUCCGGGGCUCAACUCCGGAUCUGCGGUGGGUACGGGCAGACUAGAGUGAUGUAGGGGAGACUGGAAUUCCUGGUGUAGCGGUGAAGUGCGCAGAUAUCAGGAGGAACACCGAUGGCGAAGGCAGGUCUCUGGGCAUUAACUGACGCUGAGGAGCGAAAGCAUGGGGAGCGAACAGGAUUAGAUACCCUGGUAGUCCAUGCCGUAAACGUUGGGCACUAGGUGUGGGGGACAUUCCACGUU